rnacentral:ribozyme from 1 species
UGCCCAGCAACUCCUAUCCCUACCUCCUCGUGGCACUGGCCGGGGUACGAGUAACCUUAGGGAAGAUCGGGAAACCAACCUCGGUGGGAGCUUUAGUCGUUUGCUAACAUGGAAGG